UACGAAGGUGGCAAGCGUUGUUCGGAUUUACUGGGCGUAAAGAGUGUGUAGGCGGUGCUCUAAGUUCGGUGUGAAAUCUCCUGGCUCAACUGGGAGGGUGCGCCGGAAACUGGAGUGCUUGAGCGUGGGAGAGGAAAGCGGAAUUCCUGGUGUAGCGGUGAAAUGCGUAGAUAUCAGGAGGAACACCUGUGGUGUAGACGGCUUUCUGGACCAUAGCUGACGCUGAGACACGAAAGCGUGGGUAGCAAACAGG
rnacentral:rRNA from 1 species